rnacentral:lncRNA from 1 species
GUCUUCUGCCGCGGCCGCAGCCCCGCGCUGUCAGCCAGCCGGAGGUGCCCGGUCCCUUCUCCGACUGCCGCUGCCGCCAUGUAUCUCUGCAGGGCCGCCUCGCAGGCGCUGGCCUCUCGCCUGAGCCGGGCUCCCUCUGCUGCGAGCCGCCUCAAGCAGCGUGCACCUCUUCGCCAGAUGUCAUCUGGGAGCGUUCCUGGCUCUUCUGGAGAGUCCAUGUUUUACUAUCUCCUUACUGGUGUUGCUGCUUUUGGUGGUUUAUUUUAUGCCUACAGAGUAGUCAGUUCAUCUCGCAGCAACUACAUUGAACACGUGAAUAUUCUCCAUGAGAGAUCUCAGGGGCGGAAAGACAAACACUAAAAUACAAGGGAAAUCUCUUUCCAAACCCGAGGAAGUUAAAUACAAACAAAGGACAGUCGUUCACCAUUGCGUACCUUGCAGCCUACCUUGGGAUGACUUUAUACCUUCUAUUGUAAAACUCCGUACUUGUGAGACUAAAAGAACUACCUAUGUUUGCAAGGCCAAACCAUAUUGAGCUUAUUACUGAAUCUGCUUUGCAGAAGGCAGUUCAGAGAUUGAGAAGCUGGCUGUUUUGAAUGAAUGCACUCUAUACUUGACUGUCCAAUAAAGUGUACUGAAUGCUGAGCUUGGCUGUUAGUCUGUUCUUUGUGUAAUUGAUUUAGGUUUCUUUGGAAUAUAGCAUUCUCUUAAAGGGACAUGAUCAGGUUGUAUAAUACAAAGCUUUGAUUUCUUUGCUGAGCAACGAAUAGCCUUGUGUUUAAACCUGAACACAAAAAGAUAGGCUUGCACUAGCCUAGGAAAAACAAGAAUUAAAAUCGAUCUGUUUAGUUUUUAAACAGAAAACAAUAAAUUCUGACUAUGUCUCUUUAAGCACUUUCCUGUCUAUUCUCACUUAGAUUACACUGUAUUGCAAACUUUAUUUCCAGUUCUGUGUUUUCACAUGGUGAGUUGGUUCUAGUGGCAAACUUGGAAUGAAUACUUGGUAUAUAACUUUUCUUUUGUUAACUUGAUCUUAGUGCAUGUUUGCAUGGUGGUUGUGCAUCUUUGUUGCCUUGUGCCUUUAGUUUUUAAUGACUUGUCUCAGUUGAGUUUGAAGUAAUGCAUGACUGGGAAGCACUGGGUUUUUCAGAUUCUAGCAAUUUCGACCCACAGCAGUAUAGGCAAGUCUUUAAAGACAGAUGGAAGUUGUAAAAAGAAAAUGAUCAGCCAUAAGCAGUCAUAUCUCCAAUAAAGUGAAUGCUGACCACUUAAAA